UACGUAGGGGUCUAGCGUUGUCCGGAAUUAUUGGGCGUAAAGAGCUCGUAGGCGGCCAACUAAGUCGGACGUGAAAUCCCCAGGCUCAACCUGGGAACUGCGUCUGAUACUGGAUGGCUUGAAUCCGGGAGAGGGAUGCAGAAUUCCAGGUGUAGCGGUGAAAUGCGUAGAUAUCUGGAGGAAUACCGGUGGCGAAGGCGGCAUCCUGGACCGGCAUUGACGCUGAGGAGCGAAAGCCAGGGGAGCAAACGGG
rnacentral:rRNA from 1 species